AAAUGAAUUGACGGGGGCCCGCACAAGCAGUGGAGUAUGUGGUUUAAUUCGAAGCAACGCGAAGAACCUUACCGGGGCUUGACAUCCCGCGCCGUUUCCGGGAAACCGGAGGUUCCCUUAGGGGACGCGGAGACAGGUGGUGCAUGGUUGUCGUCAGCUCGUGUCGUGAGAUGUUGGGUUAAGUCCCGCAACGAGCGCAACCCCUGUCGUCAGUUGCCAUCAUUCAGUUGGGCACUCUGACGAGACUGCCGGUGACAAAUCGGAGGAAGGUGGGGAUGACGUCAAAUCAUCAUGCCCUUUAUGUUCCGGGCUACACACGUACUACAAUGGCCGCCACAACGGGAAGCGAAGCCGCGAGGCGGAGCGAAUCCUUCAAAAGCGGCCCCAGUUCGGAUUGCAGGCUGCAACUCGCCUGCAUGAAGUCGGAAUUGCUAGUAAUGGCAGGUCAGCAUACUGCCGUGAAUACGUUCCCGGGCCUUGUACACACCGCCCGU
rnacentral:rRNA from 1 species